GCCCCGUUGGCAUAAUGGUACUGCGUUGCUUUCCUACUCUGGAAAAGAAAGGCAAAGAUUCCAGGUUCGAUCCCUGGGCGGGGCU